rnacentral:rRNA from 1 species
UACGUAGGGUGCAAGCGUUGUCCGGAAUUAUUGGGCGUAAAGAGCGUGUAGGCGGCCCGAUUAGUCCGCUGUGAAAGUCCAGGGCUCAACCCUGGAAUGCCGGUGGAUACUGUCGGGCUAGAGUCCGGAAGGGGCGAGUGGAAUUCCUGGUGUAGCGGUGAAAUGCGCAGAUAUCAGGAGGAACACCAAUUGCGAAGGCAGCUCGCUGGGACGUUACUGACGCUGAGACGCGAAAAGCGUGGGGAGCAAACAGG